rnacentral:lncRNA from 1 species
GCGCGUGAGUCCCGCGUUCCUUUCCUCUCCCUUAUCCUCUCCGUACGCGAAUCGUACCCGAUUCAUCUAGAUGGAGCAAUCUCACAGCUUCUUCAUCCUUCGCUCAGAAAUCGGACGGACGCCAUUCUCUAUCCGUUGAGAACAGUACGAAUUACAACUCCUCCAACCUUAUCCUCUAAAGAAUUCGAAUGUUGAAUUUCAAGUUUUCACCCAUUCUCCCUCCAGAUUUCCCCCCUAAAUCAGCCUUAUUUCUCCUCUAUAUAAGCUCUUUUUUUCUUUCAGUGUUAGGGGUGAGAAAAAAAAUGGAGUGGAUAUUCAUAAAUUAGAUACAACACGAUAGAGAAAAUACAAAGGUUUUGAGAUAAAUAAUAUAGACCCGAAAGAAACGAGUGAGAUAGAGAAAUACUCAAGUUUUUGUUUCGUUUUCUUUUUUUUUAGAACGACAUUCUCUCUGUUGUCUCGUUUUGGUGGAGAAGUCGUCUUCACUGUUAGCUCGUUUCGUCCAGUUUGCUGCCCAAAAAAAGGUAAACGUCUUUUCUUAGCUUUGUUUUUGUUGGAUUCGUUGUUGUUCUAUACUUUCUGUUUAAGUGUUCUUAGUCAUAUUUUAGUUAUUGUGUGUUAGGAUCGAUUAAGAAUCCGCUUUGUCUUGCCUAAAUUUUAGUUACUAUUUCAUUUAAAAAUGUAGAAAAGUUCAAUUUUAGUUUUUGUUUUGGUGCUAGCUGAUUAGUUUAAGCUAUGUUGAUCACAUUCUGGCGCAUCUUUCUCGACUUGGAUUAUAUGGUUGUAAUUUGCCUUGUGCUUUUCUUUCUAGUAGAGACCGGUUUUCCUUGGCUUAGCCAGUUUAUUUACUAAAAUUGAUUCUCGAUAACUAGCAUAGUGUUUUGGUUUACUAAGUUGGUUUGAACUCGAAUUUGUUGACUGUUGAUUAGCUUUAAGUUCUCUUUCUUAUUUUAUUAUUCAAUUACUAGUCCUGAAUAUUAGUUGCUAUUAAGAUUAGUUAUUUCCUUUUUCUGUUUAUGUGUUGUUGAUGUGUCUGCAUGUUUUCAAGAUUAGUAAGGUUAUUUUCAUCAUUGUUUAAGUUGGUAGCUAUUUCCUUUUCUUGUUCUUACAUUCAAGUGAGGUGUUAAUGUGUUGGGAGAGAUUUUGACUAAUUUUAUAGUUGGCUCAAAUCCUAUGGGAUGAUUCAGCUUACUGAAGUUUUGGUCCGAAAGCUCUAGAAAUUAGUUCUGUUUAGAUUAUAUUCCUGAGUUACCAUAUGGCAGGCUUCUUGAGUGUUGUAUUUAAAUACGGGAACUUGUGGUUGUUGUUAUUUGAGUUCAUGUUAAUGUCAAUCAACUCCCUUUAACAGUGAAUCCAUUUCUAUUUGAUUUAGUUCUUUCCCUUAGUUCAUAUGUGUGGAGUAUGAGGUCUAGCUAAAAUAUGGAAAGCUUCUAUCUUUAUUUUGUUUAACUGAUAGAUACUUAUAGUUAAAUAUUUGGUAUAAUUUCAGCAGUUAUAAAGCAUGUCACUUAGAGUUUUGAGUUACUUUGUUUGCUUAGUAAGUUCUCUCGUGUGUUAAUCAAUUGUCUUGUGAUUAAGUUAAUAUCAUCCUAAUAGUGUUAAUCUUUUUCCUCUUUUUUUUUCUUUGUGCAUGAACACUCUCUUGCUCGAGUCCAAUUAGACUCCAACCAUCUCUUGCAUUCUUCUCCCUUUUGAGUCAACCUCUACAAAAGUCGUGGAAAGAGAAGCUGAAAAUGAUAAAUUUUGGAGUCCAAGUCCAAGUAGUGGAUAGCAACAAUAGUCCCAAAUGGCUAGAAGUAUCAUUUCUGGACUUAAAAAGUCUAAGAAUGAUAUGCCAAUAGCAACAACGAGGAGCGGAAUAGGGCCAAAAGCCCACUUAAAUUUCCAGUUCUGUAUUUUGUGUAGAUUGGGACAUAAAGCACAUAUAUUUUGAUUAUUAUUCUGCUAGUCUAGGAUAGGUGAUGAUUGAGCCUACAACCCAAUGGAGAAAUUAGCUUAUCUUAGGAUAGGUGCAAACGAGCUAUAAGGCCCAAAAUGAAAUUAAGCCCAAGUACUGGCCCAGGCGGACAGAUCCAGACUUGGGCCCAAAUCUUCUUUCCCUAUCUCAUUUAUUUGCUAUUAGGUGUUUUACAUGUUUAUUUAAUUUUAAGGUUUCCUAAUCAAUUCCCCAAAAGAUAGUCACUUCGAAAUUUUCUAAAGACUAAAUAAUCAUGCUUAUUUUUCUACUUAAAUUACUUCAAAAUUUUACUCAAUAAUAUUUUAAUAUCUCCUUCUCCCCUAAAAAAUCAUUUUAAGUCUUAAUUGCUCAUUCCCUCUAUUUAAUCAAGUAUGCAUAUUAUCUUUAAAAUAACUAGCCAAAUAGUUAAUUAUUGGAUAACUGCGUGUUAGCGGGCAUUUCAGGUGCUUUCAAAUCCUUUUCGAAAUGCUAAUAUGAACCCCGAACCCCCUUAUGAUAUUUUCAUCAGAUUCCCUGUUUUAAUCCUUUGAAAAGAUAGUUUUCUUAAUUUUCCUUUAAAAAUUAAGUGACGACUCUUAAAACCAGUCGUUUUUUUUUUAUAUUUUUGAAUAAAACAUCUAUAAGUAGUAAGUGCCAUCAUAUUGAUGCAAGCAC